UGGGGAAUCUUGCGCAAUGGACGAAAGUCUGACGCAGCCACGCCGCGUGAGUGAAGAAGGCCUUCGGGUUGUAAAGCUCUGUCAAGAGGGACAAAAACCUUUUAGGUGAAUAGCCUAAGAGCUUGAUGGUACCUCUGGAGGAAGCACCGGCUAACUUCGUGCCAGCAGCCGCGGUAAUACGAAGGGUGCAAGCGUUGCUCGGAAUUAUUGGGCGUAAAGGGUAGGUAGGUGGUGACGUAUGUCUGAGGUGAAAUCCCCGAGCUUAACUUGGGAAGUGCCUUGGAAACGGCGUCACUAGAGUACUGGAGAGGUUCGUGGAAUUCCCGGUGUAGCGGUGAAAUGCGUAGAGAUCGGGAGGAACAUCAGAGGCGAAGGCGGCGAACUGGACAGUAACUGACAC
rnacentral:rRNA from 1 species